CAGCCGCCACGGGAAUACGAAGGGUGCAAGCGUUACUCGGAAUUACUGGGCGUAAAGCGUGUGUAGGUGGUUGUUUAAGUCUGUCGUGAAAGCCCUGGGCUCAACCUGGGAAUUGCGAUGGAUACUGGGCGACUAGAGUGCGGUAGAGGAUAGUGGAAUUUCCGGUGUAGCAGUGAAAUGCGUAGAGAUCGGAAGGAACAUCUGUGGCGAAGGCGACUAUCUGGGCCAACACUGACACUGAGACACGAAAGCGUGGGGAGCAAACAGGAUUAGAUACCCGCGUAGUCCCUGUCUCUUAUAC
rnacentral:rRNA from 1 species